GUCAUCAUGUUCACUGUUAUAUUCAUGUGUCUGUGGCUUUCACUAGGUGACUCCAUGGCAGAUUCAAUAAAGCCACUUUUCACUCAGAAAGUUGUAGAUGAAGGUGAUGAUGUUACUCUGUCCUGCGAAUAUGAAACAAGUGUUAGAGGAAACACCCUGCAGUGGUACAGACAAUAUCCAAAAUCUAAUCCUGACUUCCUUCUUUAUAUCAUUGAAAAUGGAGAUCUAAGUCUCAAUACUCCCCCAAGAAUGUCUGCUGAAGUUAAAGAUAAUAAAGAAGUGGAUCUGAUCAUCUCCUCUGCUGCUGUAUCAGACUCUGCUCUAUACUACUGUGCUCUGAGGCCCACAGUGACAGGAAAUCCAGCUGCACUGUACAAAAAUUACCACACAGUUUUGUUAUAUUGUACGCAGCUCUACUGGUGAUUGAGAAAAAUGUAUGUGCACUUUUUCAGGCAGUCUUUCAAAGUUCAUCAUGCACACACAUUCACACACUCCUUCACUCCUUGAGGCAAUUUGUAAUUAAAUUAGAAGUGCACUAAAGACAAGCUGUGGCUCCACAUAUGUAACACUGGACUAUAUAAAGUAUCUAAGACCAUUCACUUAGACCAGCAAUAAGGUAAUGAGGAAAUCUCCAGAACUAAGGAAAGAGUUUUAGGCUCUAUAGGUGAUAAGAAUUAGACCUCACAUGCUUUGUUACUUCUGUUGAGAUGGAGUGUAAGUCUCUGUAAUUUACUACUGCAAUGUGUGUGUGUUAAGUGUUCAUUUUAUAUUAUGCGUGUACUUUAAUUAGUUUGUGUUACAGUUUUACACAGGAAAACAUUUUUCCACAUAGCAUUAUCUGUACAGAUGGUAUAACCA